AAAAGGGAAAUGUUUGAAACAGGUGGGAAAAAUAGAACAUAAAUGCAUAAAUCAGUGGUGCGAUGACAGUAAUCUAAAGAAAGCAGAUGCAAGCUUCGAAAACAAUUUGAGAAAAGCCACGUAUUGACAUCUUGCUUAUGUGUUUCAUUGUUUAUUGUUUGGGAGUAAUCACAACAUGUCACGAAAGAAUAAUUGCAUUGAUUUGAGAAUAUAAAUAUCUAACAAUGUCCCACAUUAGUUUAUAUUCUUGAAAGAUUACUUGAUUCAAUGGUAAAUGUGUAAUUUAUGAACAUGUACACAAAUAUAGCUUUUGUUUUGGUGCUGUUUUUUCUGCAAUGUUACGAAGGGCAUAAAAUAUCUUCUGAAAUAGACGUAAUUGCUUCUGCUGACAGCAGUGACCAGAAUAUGGUGUUUCUAAAGGGCAAAUUUAUUUGUAAUAAAACCUGCAAAGGUUUGCCUAAGUCAUGCAUUGAUUGCGGUAAACUUAUACUCCAAGGAUUCAAGUAAUUAAUGUGCACGAAAAUCUUAUAAAAAUAAAAAUGCAUUGUACUUAAGCAUUACAAUACAGAAUAUUUAAAAAAUAAAAAUAUUAUGAUGC